UGGGGAAUAUUGGACAAUGGGCGCAAGCCUGAUCCAGCCAUGCCGCGUGUGUGAAGAAGGCCUUAUGGUUGUAAAGCACUUUAAGCGAGGAGGAGGCUACUUUAGUUAAUACCUAGAGAUAGUGGACGUUACUCGCAGAAUAAGCACCGGCUAACUCUGUGCCAGCAGCCGCGGUAAUACAGAGGGUGCAAGCGUUAAUCGGAUUUACUGGGCGUAAAGCGCGCGUAGGCGGCUAAUUAAGUCAAAUGUGAAAUCCCCGAGCUUAACUUGGGAAUUGCAUUCGAUACUGGUUAGCUAGAGUGUGGGAGAGGAUGGUAGAAUUCCAGGUGUAGCGGUGAAAUGCGUAGAGAUCUGGAGGAAUACCGAUGGCGAAGGCAGCCAUCUGGCCUAACACUGACGCUGAGGUGCGAAAGCAUGGUGAGCAAACAGG
rnacentral:rRNA from 1 species